AAAGAAGCAGCACUACCUCCUCAUUCUGGUGGCAGCGCUUGGGCUGUCACCGUUUACUCUCGACAAGCCGGUGGCUUCCAUCAGUCCCAGCGGCUCCGCAGAGGCCACAGACUGCAUGAUGAGUCGGGAGACUGAGUUGUUGCAUCAGACUCGCAGGCUGCACGUGAUCCUCAAUGCGCGUGCAUGUUGACACUUAACCCUCCUACACAGUCACCCUGUUGUACUGAUAAUGUAGAUUUUAUCACAGUUUCUCAGCAGAAAAGGGCUUUAAACGAUAAAAGAUUCCAGUUUCCUGUUACAUGUGAAUG